AACAGUUCAUUUGGUUAUUUUUCUUGUUUUUGGAUCCAAAUAUGAGCAAUUUCAGAGAGAUGGGAAACUCUUAGAGUGAAUGGUUCAUAAGCGGAUCAACGAAUGCAAAGGUACUUCAAGAAAAGGGUAUCCGUAUAUGGGAUGGGAAUGCGUCGAGAGCCUAUCUUGAUGGUAUUGGACUGACUGAGAGAGAGAGGAAGGUGACUUUGGACCCGUUUAUGGAUUUCAAUGGAGACACUUUGGUGCUAACUGAGAGAGAGAGAGUGAUAACGUUCAAAUUUUCACUACAAAAGAGCAAAUUUAUGAUUUCGAACGUCAGUCAUCAUCUAUUGAUAUUUUGUUGACAUUAUGCAGAUCUUGUUCCUGGUGAUUUUAUUCAUGUGAUUGGAGAUGCUCAUGUUUACAGAAACCAUGUCAAGCCUCUGCAAGAGCAACUUGAGAACCCACCAAAACCUUUUCCUGUGAGUAUAUAUACGGGACACGUGAAUAAACAUGAUCACUGAUUCUUAGUCUUGUUUGAGUAUUAUGAACUACGAGAUUCUUUUCCUGUGGAGGGCUGCUCUCUGGUGCCAUUUCUUGGCCAUCUUGAGUAAUUUCUCAG